rnacentral:rRNA from 1 species
AUCAAUAAGCGGAGGAAAAGAAAUCAAAUGAGAUUUCCGUAGUAGCUGCGAGUGAACUGGAAUCAAGCCUAUUGCCAAUUCUUAUGUUUCGUACAAUAAGAGAUGAGGUGUAAAGGAAUUUCGUGUUGAACAGAUGCACGGCCUAAAUAUUAUCGAGUGAGUUCUCAGAGAAGGUGAAAAGCCUGUUUGGUUGUGUCUGUCUGUUGAAUCGAAGUUCUUACGAGUCUAGUUGUUUGAGAGUACAACUUAAAGUUGGUGGUAAAUUUCAUCAAAGGCUAAAUAUAUGAGGGGACUAAUAGCGAACAAGUACCAUGAGGGAAAGUUGAAAAGAACUCUGACGAGAGAGUUCAACAGUGCGUGAAACCAUAUUGAGUAAAACAGAUAACUGUGUCGUUAUGUGGUGUGUCUAUCAACAGCAUAUCGGGUGUUGCGAUUCGGCGAGUGUGAGCUGUUUAUUCAGACGAUCGCUCGUUGUUAGCAUAAUUCGAGGUACUGUGUACUAGUGCACAUCCAAUCAUUGAGAAACUAUGCUACUGCGGCAUCGGUGUACAUCAGUCCCCGCCUAGCGGGAAGUUGUAUACUGGGCUCAGCUGGCGGCGUAGUUUAGCUGUGUGACAGCUGUGGGAUGCGUUUGUUGAAUGUGCCUGCUUUGUCUGCGAAUCGGUUUAUUCCUUUUUGCGGUGAGUAUGGUACAGUAGGCGAGCGUCCCGCCAUCAAUGGUUGACAUU